AUGAACACUAGGUGUCGGGGGAAUCGACCCCCUCGGUGUCGUAGCCAACGCGUUAAGUGUUCCGCCUGGGGAGUACGCACGCAAGUGUGAAACUCAAAGGAAUUGACGGGGGCCCGCACAAGCGGUGGAGUAUGUGGUUUAAUUCGAUGCAACGCGAAGAACCUUACCAGGGUUUGACAUCCUGCGAAUCUCUUGGAAACAGGAGAGUGCCUUCGGGAACGCAGUGACAGGUGGUGCAUGGCUGUCGUCAGCUCGUGUCGUGAGAUGUUGGGUUAAGUCCCGCGACGAGCGCAACCCACGUCUUUAGUUGCCAGCAUUUAGUUGGGCACUCUAGAGAGACUGCCGGUGAUAAACCGGAGGAAGGUGUGGAUGACGUCAAGUCAUCAUGCCCCUUACAUCCUGGGCUACACACGUACUACAAUGCUACGGACAAAGGGCAGCAAGUUCGCGAGGACAAGCAAAUCCCAUAAACCGUGGCUCAGUUCAGAUCGUAGGCUGCAACUCGCCUACGUGAAGGCGGAAUCGCUAGUAAUCGCAGGUCAGCAUACUGCGGUGAAUACGUUCCCGGGCCUUGUACACAC
rnacentral:rRNA from 1 species